rnacentral:rRNA from 1 species
GUAAACGGCGGCCGUAACUAUAACGGUCCUAAGGUAGCGAAAUUCCUUGUCGGGUAAGUUCCGACCUGCACGAAUGGCGUAAUGAUGGCCAGGCUGUCUCCACCCGAGACUCAGUGAAAUUGAACUCGCUGUGAAGAUGCAGUGUACCCGCGGCAAGACGGAAAGACCCCGUGAACCUUUACUAUAGCUUGACACUGAACACUGGUCCUUGAUGUGUAGGAUAGGUGGGAGGCUUUGAAGUGUGGACGCCAGUCUGCAUGGAGCCAUCCUUGAAAUACCACCCUUUAAUGGCUGGUGUUCUAACGUGGGCCCGUAAUCCGGGUUGCGGACAGUGUCUGGUGGGUAGUUUGACUGGGGCGGUCUCCUCCUAAAGAGUAACGGAGGAGCACGAAGGUCAGCUAAUCCUGGUCGGACAUCAGGAGGUUAGUGCAAUGGCAUAAGCUGGCUUGACUGCGAGCGUGACGGCGCGAGCAGGUGCGAAAGCAGGUCAUAGUGAUCCGGUGGUUCUGAAUGGAAGGGCCAUCGCUCAACGGAUAAAAGGUACUCCGGGGAUAACAGGCUGAUACCGCCCAAGAGUUCAUAUCGACGGCGGUGUUUGGCACCUCGAUGUCGGCUCAUCACAUCCUGGGGCUGAAGUAGGUCCCAAGGGUAUGGCUGUUCGCCAUUUAAAGUGGUACGCGAGCUGGGUUUAGAACGUCGUGAGACAGUUCGGUCCCUAUCUGCCGUGGGCGCUGGAGAAUUGAGGGGGGCUGCUCCUAGUACGAGAGGACCGGAGUGGACGCAUCACUGGUGUUCGGGUUGUCAUGCCAAUGGCAUUGCCCGGUAGCUAAAUGCGGAAGAGAUAAGUGCUGAAAGCAUCUAAGCACGAAACUUGCCCCGAGAUGAGUUCUCCCUGACCCUUUAAGGGUCCUGAAGGAACGUUGAAGACGACGACGUUGAUAGGCCGGGUGUGUAAGCGCAGCGAUGCGUUGAGCUAACCGGUACUAAUGAACCGUGAGGCUUAACCUU